CCACCCCCCCCCCCCCCCCACACACACACAUGAUAUUUGCCAGUCCAGGCAAUGUCAACCGCAAGAGAAAACCAGUGAUGACAAGUUUUACAAAUAAUCGGAAAGUGUGGUCUUUUGAAGAGAGUUCUUGAAGUUGUUCAGCAUGUUGUUUUGAUGGAUUCUUGGAAGGAUGUACCUCUAUGAUGUUAGCUUCAGUUCUGGAGUAUAACACCAGUUGUUGCAUAUUUAAUAUCAGAUUUAUUAAAUACAUUGUUGUUUUGCAAACAUUACUUAAACUUUGAUAUUGCUUUGGUGUUUAUGUAUGAUAUUGUAGGUGAAUAUCUCUUUAUUGCAAUGGCAAAUAUAUUUUAAAAUAUAUAGCAUUAGCAGAAGUUAUUUUUCACUGUUAAAGCUGCACUUUCACAGAUUGAUCACUUUGACAACUUACACAGGAUUUGAUUGCAUUAAUUUAUCAUAUUUUGGCUCGGAGAAGUUUGCUUUGUGAUUUAUAUAUUAGGUCUUAAUUUAAAGAAUGCCAAAAUAAAACGAUUCUGAGACAAAAAGUGUCAAACUAGAAUUCUGUGAGAGUGCAACUUUAAGAAUACUAUUAAUCGAGUGUGCAUGUGAUCCGGACUCUGAACAUUGGAUGAACUAUCAUUAAAUAUUGUAGAUUUACGUAAAUGGCCCAAAAUAUAAGAAUAACAAUGAAAAUAUGUACA